AUGGUAAAGACCACGGCCCUCGUGUCUGACGAUUCCCGCAUUGCAGAGCUUCUCACAGAGCUCCAUCAGCUGAUCAGGCAAACCCAGGAAGAGCGUUCACAGAGCGAACACAACUUAGUGAACAUCCAGAAGACCCAUGAGCAGAUGCAGACAGACAACAAGAUGCGUGGCCUCCAUACAACCACCAAGGCCGAUGCAGAGGCUGAGUGCAACAUCCUUCGGAAAGCUCGGGACAAGAUCACAGAAAUCAAGUCUCUGUUGGAGGAGAGGCAGAUUGUUGCCAAGAUCGCUGGUCUCUAGUGAUCGAUGAUUCGAAGCCGCCCUGGAAGACGAUGCGUGGAGGGGUGCUGAUGACCUUGCUGCAGCAGUCAGCCAUGAUGACGCUGCCCCUGUGGAUCCGGAAGCCUGGUGACAAGCCCCCACCCCUCUGUGGGGCCAUCCCCACCUCAGGGGACUACGUGGCCAGACCCGGAGACAAGGUGGCUGCCCCGGUGAAGGCCAUGGAUGGGGACGAGCAGUGGAUCCUGGCUGAGGUGGUCAGUUACAGCCACACCACCAAGUAUGAGGUAGAUGACAUCGAUGAAGAAGGCAAAGAGAGACAUGCCCUGAGCCGACGCUGGGUCAUCCCGCUGCCUCAGUGGAAGGCCAGCCCUGAGACAGACCUCGAGGCCUUGUUCCAGAAGGAGCAGCUCGUGCUGGCCCUGUAUCCCCAGACCAUCUGCUUCUACUGCGCCCUGAUCCAUGUGCCCCCACAGCAGUCCCAGGAUGACUACUCAGUCCUGUCUGAAGACACCUUCUAUGCAGAUGGCUAUCCCCCUCCCUUCAAUGUGGCCCAGAGGUAUGUGGUGGCUUGCAAGGAGCCCAAGAAAAAGUGAAGCUGUUGGACAUACUCGCCAUCCCCCAAAGACACAGGGCAGGACAGCAGAGGAUGUGCUGGGAUUAAACAAACAUUCUCCCUC